GACGAACGCUGGCGGCGCGCCUAACACAUGCAAGUCGAGCGAGAACCAGUCCUUCGGGACGUGGGACGAGCGGCGAACGGGUGAGUAACACGUGGGUGAUCUACCCUCGGUUUCGGGAUAGCCCGGGGAAACCCGGAUUAAUACCGAAUGGCCUCUAGAGCUCUCGGGCUCGAGAGAAAAGGUAGCUUCGGCCUCUGACCGAGGAUGAGCCCGCGGCCGAUUAGCUAGUUGGUGGGGUAAUGGCCCACCAAGGCGACGAUCGGUAGCUGGUCUGAGAGGACGAUCAGCCACACGUGGGACU
rnacentral:rRNA from 1 species